UACGUAGGGAGCGAGCGUUGUCCGGAAUUACUGGGUGUAAAGGGAGCGUAGGCGGGCGAGAAAGUUGAAUGUUAAAUCUACCGGCUUAACUGGUAGCUGCGUUCAAAACUUCUUGUCUUGAGUGAAGUAAAGGCAGGCGGAAUUCCGUGUGUAGCGGUGAAAUGCGUAGAUAUACGGAGGAACACCAGUGGCGAAGGCGGCCUGCUGGACAUUAACUGACGCUGAGGCGCGAAAGCGUGGGGAGCAAACAGG
rnacentral:rRNA from 1 species